UAACAAUAUAUCAGAAUCAAAAUGGUGGCUUUUAAAGUUGUACUGUUCACAACAUGCUUAACAUUAUUAUUAAUAACCGAAGAUGCAAGUGCCAGUCCUCGGCGCUACAACUUGUAUUCCACAAGAACAGAGAAUAUAUCCACCAAGACGAUUGUAGUUGAAAACAGGCCACAUAACACCUUCGACGGUGAAGCUGUAAUCGACAAUUUUGAUAAUGGAAUAGAGAUAAGUGGUAAAUAGCGAAUUACUUAAUAUGAAAUGGAACUUUAUGGUCGAAUAUUUUCAAUGGAAUAGAAAAUAUGACCAAAUCAAUUUAUUAAUGUAAUAAAAUAAGUGUCAUAUUUA